AACGAACGCUGGCGGCAGGCUUAACACAUGCAAGUCGAACGAGAUCUUCGGAUCUAGUGGCAGGCGGGUGAGGAACACGUGGGAACAUCCCUUUCAGUUCGGAAUAACGUUGGGAAACUAACGCUAAUACCGGAUACGUCCUUCGGGAGAAAGAUUUAUCGCUGAAAGAUUGGCCCGCGUCUGAUUAGCUAGUUGGUGAGGUAAUGGCUCACCAAGGCUACGAUCAGUAGCUGAUCUGAGAGGAUGAUCAGCCACAUUGGGACUGAGACACGGCCCAAACUCCUACGGGAGGCAGCAGUGGGGAAUAUUGGACAAGGGGCGCAAGCCUGAUCCAGCCAUGCCGCGUGAGUGAUGACGGCCUUAGGGUUGUAAAGCUCUUUCGACGGGGACGAUAAUGACGGUACCCGUAGAAGAAGCCCCGGCUAACUUCGUGCCAGCCGCCGCCGUAA
rnacentral:rRNA from 1 species